AUGCCACCAGAUAGAGAUAUUGAGUUCUUGAUUGAGCUAUUGCCUGGCACUGGGCCAAUAUCAAAGAGACCAUAUAGGAUGCCGGCAAAGGAUUUGGUGGAAAUUAAGAAGCAGAUUAAGGAGUUACUGGAUAAGGGAUAUAUUCGCCCAAGUUCUUCGCCUUGGGGAUCGCCGGUACUUCUAGUGGAGAAGAAGGAUGGAUCGUUAAGGAUGGUUGUUGAUUAUCGAGGAUUGAACGAAGUAACGAUCAAGAACAAGUACCCACUACCAAUGAUCAACGAUCUGUUUGAUCGAUUGCAAGGAGCUAAAGUAUUUUCCAAGAUCGAUUUGCGUUCAGGAUACCACCAGUUGAAGAUUCGAGAACAUGAUAUUCCGAAGACAACUUUUACCACCAGGUAUGGGCUGUAUGAGUAUACCGUUAUGUCAUUUGGUCUGACUAACGCGCCUGCCUAUUUUAUGAACAUGAUGAACAAAGUGUUUAUGGAGUUUUUGGAUAAGUUCGUCGUAGUGUUCAUUGAUGAUAUCCUGGUUUACUUGAAGAAUGAAGAGGAACAUAAGGAGCAUUUGCGUUUGGUACUUGGAAAGCUUAGAGAACAUCAAUUAUAUGCCAAAUUCAGCAAAUGUGAGUUUUGGUUGAAGGAAGUAGGAUUCCUCGGACAUGUUAUAUCUGGAGAAGGUAUAGCAGUUGAUCCCACUAAAGUUGAAACCGUGACCAAGUGCGAAGCCCCAACAACAGUUGGAGAGAUCCGGAGUUUUCUUGGACUCGCAGGAUACUACCGAAGGUUUAUUGAGAAUUUCUCAAAGAUUGCAAAGCCUAUGAUGGAGUUGUUGAAGAAUGAUACCAUGUUCAUAUGGACGGAGGGGUGUGAGGCUAGUUUUCAGGAGUUGAAGAAACGCUUGGUUACGUCACCAGUGUUGAUUUUGCCAGACCAGACCAAAGAUUAUGAGGUGUAUUGCGACGCUUCACGUCGAGGACUUGGAGCAGUGCUUAUGCAGGAAGGGAGAGUUGUUUCAUAUGCCUCAAGACAACUA
rnacentral:rRNA from 1 species